UACGGAGGGUGCAAGCGUUGUCCGGAUUUAUUGGGUUUAAAGGGUGCGUAGGCGGCUGAUUAAGUCAGUGGUGAAAGGCAGCAGCUUAACUGUUAGCACGGCCAUUGAUACUGGUUAGCUUGAGUACAGUCGAGGUAGGCGGAAUUGAAGGUGUAGCGGUGAAAUGCAUAGAUAUCUUCAAGAACACCUAUUGCGAAGGCAGCUUACUAGGCUGUAACUGACGCUGAUGCACGAAAGCGUGGGGGAUCGAACAGG
rnacentral:rRNA from 1 species